UGCAAACUACGAAUACCGAAGAAUGUUAUCACGGGAGACACACGGCGGGUGCUAACGUCCGUCGUGAAGAGGGAAACAACCCAGACCGCCAGCUAAGGUCCCAAAGUCAUGGUUAAGUGGGAAACGAUGUGGGAAGGCACAGACAGCCAGGAUGUUGGCUUAGAAGCAGCCAUCAUUUAAAGAAAGCGUAAUAGCUCACUGGUCGAGUCGGCCUGCGCGGAAGAUGUAACGGGGCUAAACCAUGCACCGAAGCUGCGGCAGCGACACUAUGUGUUGUUGGGUAGGGGAGCGUUCUGUAAGCCUGCGAAGGUGUGCUGUGAGGCAUGCUGGAGGUAUCAGAAGUGCGAAUGCUGACAUAAGUAACGAUAAAGCGGGUGAAAAGCCCGCUCGCCGGAAGACCAAGGGUUCCUGUCCAACGUUAAUCGGGGCAGGGUGAGUCGACCCCUAAGGCGAGGCCGAAAGGCGUAGUCGAUGGGAAACAGGUUAAUAUUCCUGUACUUGGUGUUACUGCGAAGGGGGGACGGAGAAGGCUAUGUUAGCCGGGCGACGGUUGUCCCGGUUUAAGCAUGUAGGCUGGUUGUCCAGGCAAAUCCGGAUAAUCAAGGCUGAGGUGUGAUGACGAGGCACUACGGUGCUGAAGUAACAAAUGCCCUGCUUCCAGGAAAAGCCUCUAAGCAUCAGGUAACAUCAAAUCGUACCCCAAACCGACACAGGUGGUCAGGUAGAGAAUACCAAGGCGCUUGAGAGAACUCGGGUGAAGGAACUAGGCAAAAUGGUGCCGUAACUUCGGGAGAAGG
rnacentral:rRNA from 1 species